UACGGAGGGUGCAAGCGUUAUUCGGAUUUACUGGGCGUAAAGCGCGCGUAGGCGGUUUGGUUAGUCUGAUGUGAAAGCCCACGACUCAAUCGUGGAAGUGCAUUGGAUACUGCCAGACUGGAGUACAAGAGGGGUGAGCUGAAUUCCAGGUGUAGAGGUGAAAUUCGUAGAUAUCUGGAGGAACAACAGCGGCGAAGGCGGCUCACUGGAUUUUUACUGACGCUGAGGCGCGAAAGCGUGGGGAGCAAACGGG
rnacentral:rRNA from 1 species